rnacentral:rRNA from 1 species
CAUGCAAGUCGAGCGGAUGAGUGGAGCUUGCUCCAUGAUUCAGCGGCGGACGGGUGAGUAAUGCCUAGGAAUCUGCCUGGUAGUGGGGGACAACGUUUCGAAAGGAACGCUAAUACCGCAUACGUCCUACGGGAGAAAGUGGGGGAUCUUCGGACCUCACGCUAUCAGAUGAGCCUAGGUCGGAUUACCUAGUUGGUGAGGUAAAGGCUCACCAAGGCGACGAUCCGUAACUGGUCUGAGAGGAUGAUCAGUCACACUGGAACUGACACACGGUCCAGACUCCUACGGGAGGCACCAGUGGGGAAUAUUGGACAAUGGGCGAAAGCCUGAUCCAGCCAUGCCGCGUGUGUGAAGAAGGUCUUCGGAUUGUAAAGCACUUUAAGUUGGGAGGAAGGGCAGUAAGUUAAUACCUUGCUGUUUUGACGUUACCAACAGAAUAAGCACCGGCUAACUUCGUGCCAGCAGCCGCGGUAAUACGAAGGGUGCAAGCGUUAAUCGGAAUUACUGGGCGUAAAGCUCGCGUAGGUGGUUCGUUAAGUUGGAUGUGAAAGCCCCGGGCUCAACCUGGGAACUGCAUCCAAAACUGGCAAUCUAAAGUAUGGAAGAGGGUGGUGGAAUUUCCUGGGAAGCGGUGAAAUGCGUAGAUUUAGGAAGGAACACCUGUGGCGAAGGCGACCACCUGGGCUAAUUCUGACACUUAGGUGCGAAACCGUGGGG